rnacentral:tRNA from 1 species
AAAAAUAUAUUAAAUUUAGAAUUUAAAGGUAGUUUCUUAAACUGUUUACUAAAUUUUUAGUUUUUCUC